AUGCACUACUAUACUAUUUACUACUCUACAAUGCACUACUAUACUAUUUACUACUCUACAGUGCACUACUAUACUAUAUACUACUCUACAAUGCACUACUAUACUAUUUACUACUCUACAGUGCACUACUAUACUAUUUACUACUCUACAGUGCACUACUAUACUAUAUACUACUCUACAGUGCACUACUAUACUAUACUACUCUACAGUGCACUACUAUACUAUUUACUACUCUACAGUGCACUACUAUACUAUAUACUACUCUACAGUGCACUACUAUACUAUAUACUACUCUACAGUGCACUACUAUACUAUAUACUACUCUACAGUGCACUACUAUACUAUAUACUACUCUACAGUGCACUACUAUACUAUAUACUACUCUACAGUGCACUACUAUACUAUAUACUACUCUACAGUGCACUACUAUACUAUAUACUACUCUACAGUGCACUACUAUACUAUAUACUACUCUACAGUGCACUACUAUACUAUAUACUACUCUACAGUGCACUACUAUACUAUAUACUACUCUACAGUGCACUACUAUACUAUAUACUACUCUACAGUGCACUACUAUACUAUUUACUACUCUACAGUGCACUACUAUACUAUAUACUACUCUACAGUGCACUACUAUACUAUAUACUACUCUACAGUGCACUACUAUCCUAUACACUACUCUACAGUGCACUACUAUACUAUAUACUACUCUACAGUGCACAACUAUACUAUAUACUACUCUACAGUGCACUACUAUACUAUAUACUACUCUACAGUGCACUACUAUACUAUAUACUACUCUACAGUGCACUACUGUACUGUGCACUACUAUACUAUAUACUGCUCUACAGUGCACUACUAUCCUAUAUACUACUAUACUAUAUACUACUCUACAGUGCACUAAUAUACUAUAUACUACUCUACAGUGCACUACUAUACUAUACUACUCUACAGUGCACUACUAUACUAUAUACUACUCUACAGUGCACUACUAUACUAUAUACUACUCUACUGUGCACUACUAUACUAUAUACUACUCUACUGUGCACUACUAUACUAUAUACUAUUCUACAGUGCACUACUAUACUAAAUACUACUUUAUAG
rnacentral:lncRNA from 1 species